UACGGGGGGGGGCAAGCGUUGUUCGGAAUUACUGGGCGUAAAGGGCGCGUAGGCGGCUCUUCAAGUCAGCCGUGAAAUCUCCGGGCUUAACCUGGAAGGGUCGGUUGAUACUGUCGAGCUAGAGUGUGGAAGAGGCAACUAGAAUUCCGUGUGUAGCGGUGAAAUGCGUAGAUAUACGGAGGAAUACCUGCGGCGAAGGCGGGUUGCUGGGCCAACACUGACGCUGAGGCGCGAAAGCUAGGGGAGCAAACGGG
rnacentral:rRNA from 1 species